rnacentral:misc_RNA from 1 species
CGCACAUUGCGCCCUUUGGUAUUCCGAGGGGCAUGCCUGUUCGAGCGUCAUUUCAACUAUCAAGCCUAGCUUGGUAUUGGACCCGGCCUUGGGGCUUGUCCGUAACCAGUCGGCGGUACUGUGUAGCCUCAAGCGUAACAGAAAUCUCGCUUCUAGGCACUGCACGGCGCCUGCCAUGUCAAGACCACACACUGAAGUUUGACCUCGGAUCAGGUAGGGAUACCCGCUGAACUUAA